UGGGGAAUUUUGGGCAAUGGGCGAAAGCCUGAUCCAGCAAUGCCGCGUGUGUGAAGAAGGCCUUCGGGUUGUAAAGCACUUUUGUCCGGAAAGAAAUCCUUGGCUCUAAUACAGUCGGGGGGUAUGACGGUACCGGGAAGAAUAAGCACCGGCUAACUACGUGCCAGCAGCCGCGGUAAUACGUAGGGUGCAAGCGUUAAUCGGAAUUACUGGGCGUAAAGCGUGCGCAGGCGGUUUGCUAAGACCGAUGUGAAAUCCCCGGGCUCAACCUGGGAACUGCAUUGGUGACUGGCAGGCUAGAGUAUGGCAGAGGGGGGUAGAAUUCCACGUGUAGCAGUGAAAUGCGUAGAGAUGUGGAGGAAUACCGAUGGCGAAGGCAGCCCCCUGGGCCAAUACUGACGCUCAUGCACGAAAGCGUGGGGAGCAAACAGGAUUAGAUACCCUGGUAGUCCACGCCCUAAACGAUGUCAACUAGUUGUUGGGGAUUCAUUUCCUUAGUAACGUAGCUAACGCGUGAAGUUGACCGCCUGGGGGAGUACGGUCGCAAGAUUAAAACUUAAAUGAAUUGACGGGGUCA
rnacentral:rRNA from 1 species